rnacentral:rRNA from 1 species
CAAGUCGAACGAUGAAGCCUAGCUUGCUGGGUGGAUUAGUGGCGAACGGGUGAGUAACACGUGAGUAACCUGCCCUUGACUCUGGGAUAAGCGCUGGAAACGGCGUCUAAUACCGGAUAUGACCUGCCCCGGCAUCGGGUGUGGGUGGAAAGUUUUUCGGUCAAGGAUGGACUCGCGGCCUAUCAGCUUGUUGGUGAGGUAAUGGCUCACCAAGGCGACGACGGGUAGCCGGCCUGAGAGGGUGACCGGCCACACUGGGACUGAGACACGGCCCAGACUCCUACGGGAGGCAGCAGUGGGGAAUAUUGCACAAUGGGCGAAAGCCUGAUGCAGCAACGCCGCGUGGGGGAUGACGGCCUUCGGGUUGUAAACCUCUUUUAGUAGGGAAGAAGGGCUUCGGCUUGACGGUACCUGCAGAAAAAGCACCGGCUAACUACGUGCCAGCAGCCGCGGUAAUACGUAGGGUGCAAGCGUUGUCCGGAAUUAUUGGGCGUAAAGAGCUCGUAGGCGGUUUGUCGCGUCUGCUGUGAAAACCCGAGGCUCAACCUCGGGCCUGCAGUGGGUACGGGCAGACUAGAGUGCGGUAGGGGAGAAUGGAAUUCCUGGUGUAGCGGUGGAAUGCGCAGAUAUCAGGAGGAACACCGAUGGCGAAGGCAGUUCUCUGGGCCGUUACUGACGCUGAGGAGCGAAAGCGUGGGGAGCGAACAGGAUUAGAUACCCUGGUAGUCCACGCCGUAAACGUUGGGAACUAGAUGUGGGGACCUUUCCACGGUCUCCGUGUCGC